rnacentral:rRNA from 1 species
AGAACGAACGCUGGCGGCAUGCCUAAUACAUGCAAGUCGAACGAACACUUCGGUGUUAGUGGCGCACGGGUGCGUAACGCGUGGGAAUCUGCCCUUGGGUUCGGAAUAACAGUUGGAAACGACUGCUAAUACCGGAUGAUGACGAAAGUCCAAAGAUUUAUCGCCCAGGGAUGAGCCCGCGUAGGAUUAGCUAGUUGGUGAGGUAAAGGCUCACCAAGGCGACGAUCCUUAGCUGGUCUGAGAGGAUGAUCAGCCACACUGGGACUGAGUCACGGCCCAGACUCCUACGGGAGGCAGCAGUAGGGAAUAUUGGACAAUGGGCGAAAGCCUGAUCCAGCAAUGCCGCGUGAGUGAUGAAGGCCUUAGGUUGUAAAGCUCUUUACCCGAGAUGAUAAUGACAGUAUCGGAGAAUAAGCCCGGCUAACUCCGUGCCAGCAGCCGC